UUUUAAACAGAAAUGGCACCAGGGCAGAUGAUGAUUUUUUGUACCAUUUCUUGACUUUCUUGGGCAUUUUCCACACCAGGACAGAUGGACCCUGCUCUCCUUCCUCCCCGCCCACAGCUACCUCGCAGCAGCCACACACUGAGCCAUAAACCCUCGCAAGACUGUGGGCAUCUCAAGGUGCCCCACGUCCCCAAAGACCAAGGGGUCACAGCUCCACAUUGUCCAACAACACUUCAGACGCGGCCUCGAGCCUGGAAGCCCUCCUGGCCAGCCCAGACCAGCCCCAGAACAGAGGUGUGAGGGGUGACGUCUGUACUGCCUUAAAAAAAAAAAAAGCAGAUAUUCAAUGCCACAUUUAAAAUGGUCAUGGCAGCCAGGCACAGUGGCUCAUGCCUAUAAUGCCAGCACUUUGGGAGGCCAAGGUGGGCAGAUCACUUGAGGUCAGGAGUUUGAGACCAGCCUGGCCAACACAGUGAGACCCCGUCUCUACUAAAAAUACAAAAUUAGCUGGGCAUGGUGGCGGGUGCCUGUAAUCCCAGCUACUCGGGAGGCUGAGACACAAGAACUGCUUGAACCCUGGAAGUGGAGGUUGCAGUGAGCUGAGAUCACACCACUGCACUCCAGCCGGGGUGACAGAGCGAGACUCUUGUUUCAAAAAUAAAAAUAAAAAAUAAUAACAAAAAACAACAUAUGCAUUCCUAGUCCCUUGGAGCCACGGCAACGAAGCUGGCAAUAUAUUUUGGGUGUUUAAAAUCAAUGCUUUACAUGAGCUACGCUGCAAGUCUCAACCUUGAUCCUGCUACAGUAAUCAUCCACUACAAAUUAAAACAAGAGCCAUAACUGUCUCCUACUAAAAUAUUCUAAUUGAGACAUACUAACAGAAUACAUUUCUUUGGGUGAGAAAGUCUCCACCAGGGUGGGGAACAGACGGCCCACCAAUUGUGCUGUGGCCCUAACCUCCGAGGACUCAGCAAUCAUCCACAGCAAGGCUGGUGACUCGAACACUAAAUUGCUCUUUGACAUUAAUUCUUAAACCUUGAGAAACCAAAGUUCUCUUUGUAACAGACUUGAGAAAGACACUCAGAAGAGACGCACCAACUCUUACCUGGGAGAGACACCCUUGCUAAUCAUGUCUGGAUUAAUGGAUGCACUAAAAGCAUCUCUUCCAACUGGGACACAGACUGCAAACAGGAACACCACGAAUACCUUCCCCAAAUUACCCAGUCCUGACCCAUCCACCCCUCAGGAGGUCCCCAGCCAAGUCCAAUAAGGAAAUGACCCCACAGCAGAUGCACGCACAGGCAGUGAGGGCAGUGGCGUCAGGGAAUUCUGCUCCAUAAACCUUGGCAGCACGCAGGGAGGUGCAUUUCUCCUUAUCAGACGCUGCCGGAGAUUGGUAGUGACGCUUUCAUUCUUCACAGCUGCUAUCUGAUCUCAUGCUAAUCAGUGUUUUUCUGACAACAAAGUCAAGGUUUCUCAGAAGAGACUGCCAGAUGAAAGAAUGGGACAAAAGACAGAAGCCCGUUUCUGUACCCAGCUGGACAGGUGAAGUCAUUUAGGUGCAGGAUGAUCUGGCCAUUCCAAAUAUGCACGGCUUUCCAAUUUUGUUAAAAUGAAACCCAGCCUUUGAAAAGGCCCGGACUUCCUACAAUGCACAGUAUUUAUAGCGUGGAGGGCACUGUAGAGACGUCAUCAGUGUAUUCACAACAGCAAGAUCCACGGAGGCUCUGCCAUGUGCCAGGCAUGAGACAACUGUUUACAGAAAACAUCUCAUUUCAUCCUACACAGAGUAUACAGACUGCUUCACAGAACACUACCAAAGAGGACCAUCAAAUGAUCCCCAGGAAGUAAUGAGUGCCUUAAAAGUAAGAAAGCCA
rnacentral:lncRNA from 10 species